UACGGAGGAUGCAAGCGUUAUCCGGAUUUAUUGGGUUUAAAGGGUGCGCAGGUUGUUUGAUAAGUCAGUGGUGAAAGUCUGUCGCUUAACGGUAGGAUUGCCAUUGAUACUGUUAGACUUGAAUAUGGAUGAGGUAGGCGGAAUGUGUAGUGUAGCGGUGAAAUGCAUAGAUAUUACACAGAACACCGAUUGCGAAGGCAGCUUACUAAUCCAUCAUUGACGCUGAGGCAUGAAAGCGUGGGGAUCAAACA
rnacentral:rRNA from 1 species